CUCGUGUGUGUAUGUGUACAUAUGUUGGUACUGCAUGUAUAUACAUGUUGAGACUUUCAUUUGUUACAUAUCCCCCUCCCGUACCCUCCCCGUUCUCGUUGCGCAUUGAAAGUUAUAUCCAUAAGUUACUGUAUUACCGACAUGACAGAUUUCCUAACCUCGCAUGUGUCACUUUUUAACUAUUUAUUUCUCGCAAACUAGAGCCGAGCGACCAUUUUUACUUGCAGAUUCGGCUUCUACACAUCAAAAUACACAAGAUAGCAUCCUUUCGAUGUUAUUGAUAUCCUUGUUGAUUGUCCCAGGUGUGGUAGAAAGUGUCAAUAUAUUUCUCUUGUGCUUUGGUUCCUCAUCAGAUGAUGCAGUUUGAUAACGCAAUGGUUUUUGAACAGCAUGCUUUUGCAAAUAUCUAUAAAGGCAUCCUGUAGACUUGCAUAAAUUUGAUCAAAGUUAAUAACAUGAAUGUUGCUACUAAUAUUGCUAUAUUUGUAAAUGUAAAAAGCUGAAGAUGACAUUCCAACAUAAAAAUCAUACACCUAUAAAAAAUGCUUAACAGCCAAAUGAUAAAAAUUGUUCUCUGCAAUAAUAUUGAAAAUAAUACAAAUGGAUACAUCUACCAAAAUACAACAAUUGUCUCGCACAGUGGAAAAGUGGAAAAUGAUUCUGAAGUGCCAAGAUGCCUAAUGUCGUUUGUGAAAUGAAGCAGACCAUGAAUAUUGUAACUAUUGAAACUUGAACCAUAAAGAGUAUUAGAAUGAAGUACAAACUUUUGCAACACAAGUCCCACGAACAUCAGAUGUUUCUCCAACUGACACUUUAAAAGUAAGACUCUUAUAGCAGCAUGUAAAAGCAAGAAGUGCUUGUACAAUUGUCCGUCUAAAAUACCGUACAUUACAACAGGUCCUGUAUACCCUGUAUAAAAUGUCGUAUUUAAAAGUAUCGUUUCGCAUUCGCGAGAUUUCGUGAUGAAUUCUGCUUUGCAGAAAUCUCGGAUUGGAUCGCGGGCCAAUAUUUUCAAUGUUACGGGGAAUAGAACGUAAAAAUCUUGUAUGCCUCUGAAUCCGAAAACGAUUAGGAGAAGAAGUGAAUAUUUUUCAAUGCGAAAGUUCGCAUUUGAAAAUUAUCGAUUGCGAUUGAAUGCAAGGCAUAUUUGAAAUGAAUUGAAUCCUUUUUAAUGUGAAGCAUUCACCGUGCCGUCUCGCAUUUAGCGCGGUGAAAUUUAAUGGGAACUAAUACUUUUCAAUCCCUUUCUUCGGAUCAGAAAGCAGAAUUCAGAGAUAUUCAAAAUGUCAAUACUUUUUAAUAUGUUUCAAUUCGAUAUUUUAUAUAAAAGAAACUGACGAAAUUCUAUUGCUUUAUAUUUGGAAAAUAUACCUGAAGAUCUAGGGCGUCUUGAAAAAUCUGUAGGACAAUAUUAUUGUAAAUUAUUUAAACGAGUAUUAAUUAUAGAAAGUGAUACUGCUGAAAAUUUAGAUAAACGUGAAUACAUGUACCAAUGCAGACAAUAUUUUUUUCACUACACUCAAGCAUACUAAAUGCAUAUACUCAAAGUGCACUUGAGAAAUUAUUCCUAUUGGUAGCAUAGAUAAUGGACUUGUAUCCUUUUUGUGACGAUCUUCAUCAAAAUACAAUUUAUAAUUUUCAUCAGUACGGGAAGGACGAUUGACCAUUAAAUAUACAAUGACCAUUACUUUGUGUGUCAUAAACUUUACAUUUGGAAUAGGGGUAAUUAGACUUAUAACCACAAUGAUUUAAAAUAAAAGCUCGAACAGGUGCAUCAGCUAUAAAAGACCUUAAUUUUAUUGGUAGGUACAAGACUCUCUGCCACGAAAAUGUAUACCUCCAUUAGAUAUAAUAGGUGUAACAUUAGCAAAGAACUUUUCAAAAAAAGCGAUAGGAUCACCAGGCUUUUGUGCAUCUUUAUAAAUUCCUACAAUUGGUUUGACAUUUUAUGGACAUGUAUAGAUUGACAAAAGCGUGCUGUUUAAAAAUCAUUGCGUUAUCAAACGUCAUCUGAUAAGGAACCAAAGCGCAAGAGGAAUACAUUGAUCGCACUUUCUGCCACACCUGGGACAAUUAACAAGGACAUCAAUGACAUCAAGAGGAUGCUGCAACAAAAUAAGAAGACAACAUAUUUUAAUAUCCAUCCAGGAUUAACACAAACACCACAUAAAGAAAUAUGCACACAUGAAAACACAUACAAACAUUUCUCUUGACAAGGGAUAUACUCCUCAUAUACAGACACAUACAAACAUAGGAUAUACUGCACACAACACACGCACCUAUGUGAAGCUGGCCCCUCAUUAUCAAAAUUUGAAAAAAAAUGAUUAGAGUUCUAGUUGCCCCCCGAAAGGUUCUAGAGUUCUCAAUCACACAAAUAUUGAAUUCUCUCUAAAUACACAGACCAAUAAUAACUAAUAAUAUAAGUUUUACAUUGCGUACAGAUUAUGAUAAUAAACAUAUAUAAUAAACAUAUAAUAAAAAUAAUAAACAUAUACUAAUGACGCUUUAUCUCAGUUCCAGGACUUGACACCAAUUAUGACGAUACAAGAUGCACAUCAACAUGAUUAUGCCAUCUAUGCACAAAAGACCUCAGUAUAGGAAGAUAUAUAUAAAAGCCCAGCAAACUAUACAGAACUUAUGGAACAACGAGUCAGAAGAGGACGACAUUGAGGAUACGAACGACAAGUAAGAAUAGUAUUGCGAUGGAUAUGUAAUGGACCAAGGAGCAAGAUUCAAUAUAUCACUUUGACUUAAGUUACCCAGAGAAUGGAGAAGCAGAAGGGAAAGAAACAAGAUGAGGAAGAGGAAAGGACAGAAAAGAAAGGAGGAAUAUGUGGAGGAGAGAGAAAAUGGAGGAAGAGUGAUUGUAAAAUAAGGAGGAGGAGAAAUCUGUGUGGUUUCUGUCUGUCGACAGACGAAUUGGCACUUUUCAGUGCCAUAUUUUCUUAAUGUGUCAAACGUUGAUCAACUUGUCGUAUUAGCAAUGUGCAAUCGGUGCUUCUUAGCGCCACAUCAACUGCAAUGAACACUUACACUCGAGAUUAAUUUCCAAAUUUUCUUGAAUGUUGCAGAAACGUUUUCGAGUCCUGUAUGGAGCAGAUUUUCUCUUCAAUGACUCUCGUCAAGGAAGACAAUGAAGAAUCCACCAGAUGAAAAUUAUACUUCAUUCUUGUUAUAUAUCUAUAUAGGAAUCUAAUAUUCUAACGAAAGUAAUAAUGUGAAUUGUUACUCGAGUAUGUAGAAUAAUUUUAUUUAGGCCGUACGUCUUGUCCGGCCUCUCCAGACGCUGUUAUGUAUACAACUCACAAUCACCGUUCCGCCACAUUUGGAGCCUCCUCAAUUGAAACCAACCCUAGCGCGUAUCCGCGUAAAUACAUAACAAUUUCAAGGGGCAUUUCUGUAUGCCGAUGUUCCGUAGACGAUAACGGCCAGA